UACGGGGGGGGCAAGCGUUGUUCGGAAUUACUGGGCGUAAAGGGCUCGUAGGCGGCCAACUAAGUCCGACGUGAAAUCCCAAGGCUUAACCUUGGAACUGCGUCGGAUACUGGAUGGCUUGAAUUCGGGAGAGGGAUGCAGAAUUCCAGGUGUAGCGGUGAAAUGCGUAGAUAUCUGGAGGAAUACCGGUGGCGAAGGCGGCAUCCUGGACCGAUACUGACGCUGAGGAGCGAAAGCCAGGGGAGCAAACGGG
rnacentral:rRNA from 1 species